UACGAAGGGCCCAAGCGUUAUCCGGAUUUAUUGGGUUUAAAGGGUGCGUAGGCGGGCUAUUAAGUCAGUGGUGAAAGCCUCAAGCUUAACUUGAGAAUUGCCAUUGAUACUGAUGACCUUGAGUACAUUUGAAGUGGGCGGAAUGUGUCAUGUAGCGGUGAAAUGCUUAGAUAUGACACAGAACACCGAUGGCGUAGGCAGCUCACUAAACUGUAACUGACGCUGAGGCACGAAAGCGUGGGGAGCAAACAGG
rnacentral:rRNA from 1 species